rnacentral:rRNA from 1 species
UACGUAGGCAGCGAGCGUUGUUCGGAGUUACUGGGCGUAAAGGGUGUGUAGGCGGUUCUCUAAGUUUGGUGUGAAAUCUCCCGGCUCAACCGGGAGGGUGCGCCGAAAACUGGAGGGCUAGAGUGCGGGAAGGGAGAGUAGAAUUCCUGGUGUAGCGGUGAAAUGCGUAGAUAUCAGGAGGAAUACCGGUGGCGAAGGCGGGUCUCUGGGCCGAUACUGACGCUGAGGAGCGAAAGCGUGGGGAGCGAACAGG